UAUCGUAACCCCGUCAGCGUGCGGUGUACAUCAAAAGAAGCCGAACCGACUUGUCUAGUGGAGACGUGUUCCAACUCAAUCAAUAUUUGAUGUUAAAGCUGUGAAUUUGCCAAACCACUUUGAAUGUUUGAGUGCAAGCAGCGUUUUACAUAAAGCACUCGAUAAAGUUAUGAAGUGCCACGCGAUAAAACAUAAUCCGCAUCCGUAUAAUAUAAUAUACAACACUCGGUAUCCGAAGAUAACCAUUAUACUUUCAGUGCGUACGAUUUUAUUUCUGCAAUGACAUUUAAAAGGAUUAAACUCGACAUGACACACGUUGCGCCGUUCAAGACGUUUCAGUUUGUUAAAAAUAAAACAAUACGCUCGCACGAAAAUGCAUACACGCAGCAUGGUGUAACGAAAUAGUACUACCGCGGUAAAUGGACAUGUAUCCUAACACGAUUGUUAUAACGGUAUACAAUAUAAUAUAUUAGCAGUACAAUAUGUACACAUAUUGCGUGUACAGUUUAACUGUUACAGUGCACUAUAUGUAUAUAAUAUAUAAAGUUAUUAUUAUAAUUAUUAUUAUUAUCAUAUACAUAUUAUUAUUGCGUACACACAUACGUGACACUGAGUGCAGGUUACGGAUAUACGUAUUACAAACACAAUAGAUCUAGUUCUCUCACGGCGGCGUGCAAUGUUACGUACGAUAAUUUUUUCUCCUCUGCGAACUUUAACUCCUCUCAUAGGUAUACAUUUACAUACACCCAUUUAUCCUCCGGUGGUCUCCAUGAACACCCACCCAUGUUUUAACAUAAUAUAUACUAACUGUAAUCCGUCCUGCGACUUCUGAGCUGUGACUGCACUAACAACGGCCGUUCACCGCCGCGGUAUAUGCAGUUUCAACACACACACCGAUCUACAUUAUUUUAUUGUUUAUACGUUAAGGAACGUGUCUAGCGUGGUAUUUAACUACCCCUCAGAAAUGUAAAAAGAAUUGAUAGAAAAGUUCUGCUUAAUAUUUUUAUAGAAUUUAUGUUUAAUAUCAUCAA